GGGGAAUUUUCCGCAAUGGGCGAAAGCCUGACGGAGCAAUACCGCGUGAGGGAGGAAGGCUCUUGGGUCGUAAACCUCUUUUCUCAGGGAAGAACACAAUGACGGUACCUGAGGAAUAAGCAUCGGCUAACUCCGUGCCAGCAGCCGCGGUAAUACGGAGGAUGCAAGCGUUAUCCGGAAUGAUUGGGCGUAAAGCGUCCGCAGGUGGCUGUGUAAGUCUGCUGUUAAAGAGUCUAGCUCAACUAGAUACAAGCAGUGGAAACUACACGGCUAGAGUACGUUCGGGGCAGAGGGAAUUCCUGGUGUAGCGGUGAAAUGCGUAGAGAUCAGGAAGAACACCAGUGGCGAAGGCGCUCUGCUAGGCCGUAACUGACACUGAGGGACGAAAGCUAUGGGAGCGAAUGGGAUUAGAUACCCCAGUAGUCCUAGCCGUAAACGAUGGAUACUAGGCGUGGCUUGUAUCGACCCGAGCCGUGCCGUAGCUAACGCGUUAAGUAUCCCGCCUGGGGAGUACGCCGGCAACGGUGAAACUCAAAGGAAUUGACGGGGGCCCGCACAAGCGGUGGAGUAUGUGGUUUAAUUCGAUGCAACGCGAAGAACCUUACCAAGGCUUGACAUGUCGCGAAUCCUGGUGAAAGCUGAGAGUGCCUUCGGGAGCGCGAACACAGGUGGUGCAUGGCUGUCGUCAGCUCGUGUCGUGAGAUGUUGGGUUAAGUCCCGCAACGAGCGCAACCCUCGUUUUUAGUUGCCAGCAUUAAGUUGGGCACUCUAGAGAGACUGCCGGUGACAAACCGGAGGAAGGUGGGGAUGACGUCAAGUCAGCAUGCCCCUUACGCCUUGGGCUACACACGUACUACAAUGCUCCGGACAGAGGGCAGCAAGCAUGCGAAUGCAAGCAAAUCCCGUAAACCGGAGCUCAGUUCAGAUCGCAGGCUGCAACUCGCCUGCGUGAAGGAGGAAUCGCUAGUAAUUGCAGGUCAGCAUACUGCAGUGAAUUCGUUCCCGGGCCUUGUACACACCGCCCGUCACACCAUGGAAGCUGGUAGUGCCCGAAGUCAUUACUCCAACCUUUCGGGGGGGAGGAUGCCUAAGGCAGGACUGGUGACUGGGGUGAAGUCGUAACAAGGUAGCCGUACCGGAAGGUGUGGCUGGAUCACCUCCUU
rnacentral:rRNA from 1 species